rnacentral:rRNA from 1 species
AUUGAACGCUGGCGGCAUGCCUUACACAUGCAAGUCGAACGGCAGCACGGGAGCAAUCCUGGUGGCGAGUGGCGAACGGGUGAGUAAAGUAUCGGAACGUGCCCAGUCGUGGGGGAUAACGUAGCGAAAGUUACGCUAAUGCCGCAUACGAUCUAUGGAUGAAAGCGGGGGAUCGCAAGACCUCGCGCGAUUGGAGCGGCCGAUAUCAGAUUAGGUAGUUGGUGGGGUAAAGGCCCACCAAGCCGACGAUCUGUAGCUGGCCUGAGAGGACGACCAGCCACACUGGGACUGAGACACGGCCCAGACUCCUACGGGAGGCAGCAGUGGGGAAUUUUGGACAAUGGGCGAAAGCCUGAUCCAGCCAUGCCGCGUGCAGGAUGAAGGCCUUCGGGUUGUAAACUGCUUUUGUACGGAACGAAAAGGACUGCCCUAAUACGGUGGUCCCAUGACGGUACCGUAAGAAUAAGCACCGGCUAACUACGUGCCAGCCGCCGCCGUAA